rnacentral:lncRNA from 1 species
UAUUCCCAAUAGGAUUGAAAGCCUGGUAAGGGCGACUGGGCCCCAAUACAUUAUUUCUGCACAUCGCAUCGCAACACCCCUCAACAACGUGGUGGACCAGAACCCGCAGGUGAUUUGUCCCACACCUCACCAUGAAUACCGCCUGACCAUCGAUAAAGCAGCAUCAAGAGGUUCAUGCUUGCGCUCUGCUCCUUUCUGGUCCUUUCACGACUCUUACCAACUCUUACCAACUCAACCGGACGUUCUGUCCCGCCUUUCGCGUGCGCAGGUAGAAGUUACAGGACUCAAAUUAUUGAAGAUAUGAGGAUUCUCCCGAGGCACAUACCCUUAAAUGGGCUGCUGUUCAUCACGCUUGUUGCAGUCGUCGCGUGGACACGAAGUAAGAGAAAUUGCGUGCUGCAGUUUCGCAGCAUAAAUCUUUCCAUAGUUUACACUUCAAAUUAUCCGAUGGGUGAUUGUAUCAGGUGCUAGGAAUUGCUAGUAACCAUUUGUCACAACCUUACCUUAAAAGGCACGUAACCAAAUGAACCCACCUGCGCGCCGCAUGCCUCAAGGCCAUCCUAUAUUCGAUGUUCAUCAAAACUCAAAUAACAUAAAAUUCAUUUCUCUCCAUUCAAACCUCUUGCUUGCAGGUUUGCCUGCAAAUGGGUUGUCCGCGCCACACUCUGGCCGGGAGUUAUUGAGCAAGGGCAACGACCGCGGUGAGAAGAGACCCGCCGGCGCCCCGUACCCGAAGCCUGCUGACGAGUCGAGCGAGACCCGUCCCGACCGCAACAGCAUUCCCGCCGAACGUCCUGAAGUGUUUAACGUCACUCGCCCAGGAUUCAACGGUAC